rnacentral:tRNA from 1 species
UAGAUAGAUGCUUGUGGGUUUAAGCUCUUAGCUGUUAACUAAGCUUUUGUAGGAUCGAGGCCUGCCUAUCUAG